UACGUAGGGGGCAAGCGUUGUCCGGAUUUAUUGGGCGUAAAGAGCGUGUAGGCGGCCUGGUAGGUCAGCUGUGAAAACUCGAGGCUCAACCUCGAGACGCCGGUUGAAACCAUCAGGCUAGAGUCCGGAAGAGGAGAGUGGAAUUCCCGGUGUAGCGGUGAAAUGACGCAGAUAUCGGGAGGAACACCAAUGGCGAAGGCAGCUCGCUGGGACGUUACUGACGCUGAGACGCGAAAGCGUGGGG
rnacentral:rRNA from 1 species